CCUGAAGUAAUUCACACCAGACACAGGUUCCAGGUUGUUGAAUAACUUGAGGAAUGUUUAUUCAGAGGGGCCGGCAGGUCCCUUUUAAAGCAAAAUUACAUCAUAAGCAUUGUCAGAGAUAACAUGGAAUAAUACAUCAAUAAUUGGUUAAGUGUUAAGUGUUUUAUUCAAAGCACGUCCUACAGGGUGUGCCUUCUUAUGUCAUUACUGUCGUCAUGGAGUUCUCCCCCCGGAUUCCAGCUCCAUCUUGAAAAUUAGAGUGUUUGGUCGAUGGGUGGGGUACUCCUGAGUGACAUCUAG